rnacentral:rRNA from 1 species
AACGAACGCUGGCGGCAGGCUUAACACAUGCAAGUCGAGCGCCCCGCAAGGGGAGCGGCAGACGGGUGAGUAACACGUGGGAACGUACCCUUUACUACGGAAUAACGCAGGGAAACUUGUGCUAAUACCGUAUGUGCCCUUUUGGGGAAAGAUUUAUCGGUAAAGGAUCGGCCCGCGUUGGAUUAGCUAGUUGGUGGGGUAAAGGCCUACCAAGGCGACGAUCCAUAGCUGGUCUGAGAGGAUGAUCAGCCACAUUGGGACUGAGACACGGCCCAAACUCCUACGGGAGGCAGCAGUGGGGAAUAUUGGACAAUGGGCGCAAGCCUGAUCCAGCCAUGCCGCGUGAGUGAUGAAGGCCUUAGGGUAGUAAAGCUCUUUCACCGGAGAAGAUAAUGACGGUAUCCGGAGAAGAAGCCCCGGCUAACUUCGUGCCAGCAGCCGCAGUAAAAC